GCAGAUCUCCACCGUUGGAUGAACGAUCUCAGAAUUUGAAUCCACGCGUUGGAUUAAAGUCGCCCCGAAACCCGGAAAAGCUGUUGGCGCGUGUUGAGCGUGUAAGGGGACAGGCCGAACCUCGAGACGCUGUGGCAGACAGCUUUAGCAGAAAGUGAUUUGCUUUCCGUAAAUCACGGAAGAGACGUGUCGUGGCACGUGGAGUGUACCGACAGUUUGUUGUUAUUCUAUCGCUUAUGAUAGAAUAAAUGAAAGAAGUUGCAUGGAUAGUAACGAGAGCAGCUGGUGCUCUAGUGGUUGAAGAGCAAGGCUCUUGUACAAGAGGUCAGAGGUUCGAACCUUGCCUCUCGUUUAUUUUUAUUAUGUUCGCUUAUGACAUAAUAAGUAUAACAUUUGUACACAUUAUAUUAAGCACAGCUUGUGCUCCAGUGGUUGGGGGACAAAGGUUUCGUGCGGCAGGUUGAGGUUUCGAACCUUGCCUUCCCCGUUAUUUUAUUUAUGUCACUUAUGACAUAAUAAAUAUAACACGUGAGCAUAUAUUAAUGAAGGCAGCUCUUGCUUCAGUGGUUGGGAGCAAAACCUUCGUGUUCGAGGUCGGGAGUUCGAACCUUACCUCUUACAAAUAUUUUUGGAUCUCGUAUAUGCUUGAUAUACGGACGUAUAUACGGUAUGUACGGUAUACAUACGUAUAUACGGUCUGUACGGUAUGCAUAAGUAUAUACAGUUGUAUGGUAUGCAUACGUAUAUACGGUCUGUACGGUAUGUAUACGUAUAUACGGUAUGUACAAUUUCAUACCGUAGCCGAGCUAAAAAGUUGUGGGCCGAAUAGUAGGCCCGAAUAGUAAGCCCAAAUUUGGUUGGGCCUAUUCAAAAUGCGUUUGGUUCGGCCGAUUGGUAGGCCCAAAUAGUAAGCCCAAUUGUUCGGCCGAUUUGUAGGCCCAAAUAGUAAGCCCAAUUGUUCGGCCGAUUGGUAGGCACAAAUAGUAAGCCCAAUUGUUCGGCCCGAAUGGUAGGCCCAAAUGUUAAGCCCAAUUGUUCGGCCCAAAUGGUAGGCCCAAAUGUUAAACCCAAAUUGGUUCGGGCCGGUUCGAAAUGUGGAUGGUUCGGUUUCUUCGGCCCAAUUGGCCAGCCCUAAUGCUUAGCCCAAGGAUUGAGCAAGCCCAAGUCAUCAUCACUGGGUGUCAGAUUUUAUUGGCAUGCUUUUGGGGAUGAUUUGUUUUGAGUGAUGCAUCUCUAUUGUUGUGUAGAAUAGUGCAUGCUUAAGUUUUACUAUAGAGAUUUACCGUGAUGCUAAUUGAGUAGCGAAACGCUUUGUGAGAAUGUUUACUGUGCUUGUAUGCCAGUACAGGAUGAUGAUCUAUGUGAAGAUCUAUGUGAUGAUCUAUGAGAUGAUCUAUGUGAAGAUCUAUGUGAGGAUCCAUGUGGUGAUUUUGUGUGAGUUUACUUUUGUGAUGAAAGAAUUUGUGGCCUUAGGAAUGUAUUUUUAUACAAAGGGCUGUGGCUUUGUAGAUUACUACAGCUUUGGAAAGGAUGGAGAUUCGAUGGUUAGGUUAACCGUAAUCGAGAGCAAUUAACUUGCGCUUAAAUUUCGGGACGAAAUUUCUUUAAGGAGGGUGGAUUGUAAUACCCGAAAAAUUCAAGUUAAUUUCCGAUGACGUUUUGGAAAUGAUUUCGUGGUCGUGGACACGAGUACGAAGCUUAGAGGAGUGUGGAAUUAGUUCGAACGAUUUUAUUUUGAAAACUGAACGUUUUAGGGGGGUCAAAGGAGUUGACUUUUUAUACAUUGGGAAAUUGGGAAAACUUCCUUCAUGAAAGUUGUAGAGCGCGUCGAUACGAGUUCGUGGACAUAUGGAACGUAAUAUUCGGAGUUCGUAUGAAUAAGUUACGAAUAUUUGAAAAUUGGGAUUUUCUAUAAAUAUGAAAAAAAAAUCCGAAUAUUGCAAAUGAGGACAGAAUUUCUGGAACUCCAGAAAUUUCUCCCCAUUUCUCUCCCGAGCCCAGCCGCGACCCCCUCCCUUCGUCACCUUCGUUCUUCCUCAUCCGGCCACCGAUUGAUGUGAAACAAAGUGGGUUUUUCUGGUCUCGACCCCCUUUACGAGUUUGUAGAAGAAAUCGAAGUGAAAUACGAGCUGUAUGAGGCUCUACAAGGUCGAGAAGAGAGCCUCGUCGGAGACGAAAUCGCUCUUCCCCACUUUUUCUGGGCUCUACUUUGUCUGGCCAUAUCUUCCUCUACAGGCCUCCGAUCGACCUGAUUCCAAAAGCAAUUUUUCUCACCGUGAAGUUUUCUACAACUUUCCAGAAGACAUCGACUUGAGAUAACCAUCGUGGUGGCCGCUAGAAGACCGAGAAGCCGCACAGCCGAGCUGGAAAUCGUCUUCCUUCGCCACCUUGGUUCUCCCAGCUCCGGCCACUAUAGCUCGAGUUCUUUGAGGGCUUUUCUAGCCCAGAGGAAGUAGAAGCUAUCCCCAAGAAGGCUUGCAGCGAUUUAAUCCGGGGUGAUCGAAUUUUGAAGAUUGGGAAACUAGGGUUCUUCGGGUUUCAAAACUUGCGAGGUGAUUGACGGUCUCCCUUGGGUGAACGAUUUCGGUGUGUAUUGUGUUGAAUUGAAGACGCAGCGGGAAUAUCGAGCGGGUAAUCCUGCAGGUCAGGAGAAUCAGGACGGUGAUCGUGCGGGUUAGAGAAUUUGUUUUAGUUUUACAGCAAUUGUAAUUGUGAGGUGAGUUAUGCUCAUUUGAGCCUUACAAUAUAAUUUGGUGAGAGUGUGCUGUAAUAAACAAAUUUGAGAUUUGGUUUAUGUAAUAUCGAGCGAUGUGAGGUGUGGUUGUUUUGAGAAAAAAAAAUUCAGGUUGUAUUUAUGUGAGUUGUAUUAAUUCAUGUUUCGGAUUUUGAUUUGUAUUUAAAAUUCGGGGCGUGACAGUUUGGUAUCAGAGCGUAAGGUGCAUAUUUGGUGAUGUGUCAAUACCUUCCGAGUGAUGGCCCGGCUGCAGCGGAUCCCCAUCGUGUGCUCUUCGGUAUUGGC